rnacentral:rRNA from 1 species
GUCUCCGCCCUCCUAUCCACGGCCUCAUCUAGAGUUUUGCUAAAUGGUGUUGCUGGUGAUCCAAUUAAGCAUGGGCGUAGUCUUCGGCAGGGGGAUCCUCUCUCCCCUCUGCUUUUUGUCCUCGCUAUUGACCCGCUCUAUCACAUCCUCGCCAAGGCUACCGAUCAAGGCCUGCUGCACCCUCUUCGUGGUCGGCCCAUCCGUGCAUCCUUGUAUGCAGAUGAUGCUGCUAUAUUUGUUGCGCCGAUCAAGGAAGAUAUUCACUUCUUGGCUUAG